ACAGGAUAACCUUUCAGGUCCUGUCCAGCUUGGAUGAGAUUUCCCUUUCUCCAUUGACCAGUGAUGAACUCCUACUCACCCAUCAAGUCUCAGGUGGCCUUUUCUCUGGGACAUUCACACUGUCUUUGGGGGAAGCAAGAAAGAAAGAGUGCAAAACA